UACGUAGGGGGGCUAGCGUUGUUCGGAUUCAUUGGGCGUAAAGGGUGCGUAGGCGGCGCGGUAAGUCGGGUGUGAAAUCUCGGGGCUUAACUCCGAAACUGCAUUCGAUACUGCCGUGCUUGAGGACUGGAGAGGAGACUGGAAUUUACGGUGUAGCGGUGAAAUGCGUAGAGAUCAUGAGGAAGACCAGUGGCGAAGGCGGGUCUCUGGACAGUUCCUGACACUGAGGCACGAAGGCCAGGGGAGCAAACGGG
rnacentral:rRNA from 1 species